UAAGGUGCAUCUAGUGCAGUUAGUGAAACAGCUUAGAAUCUACUGCCCUAAAUGCCCCUUCUG
rnacentral:pre_miRNA from 1 species